UAACACGUAUCCAACCUUCCGUUUACUCAGGGAUAGCCUUUCGAAAGAAAGAUUAAUACCUGAUGGUAUGGUGAGAUUGCAUGAUAGCACCAUUAAAGAUUUAUUGGUAAACGAUGGGGAUGCGUUCCAUUAGGUAGUAGGCGGGGUAACGGCCCACCUAGCCGACGAUGGAUAGGGGUUCUGAGAGGAAGGUCCCCCACAUUGGAACUGAGACACGGUCCAAACUCCUACGGGAGGCAGCAGUGAGGAAUAUUGGUCAAUGGGCGAGAGCCUGAACCAGCCAAGUAGCGUGAAGGAUGAAGGUCCUACGGAUUGUAAACUUCUUUUAUACGGGAAUAAAGUUUCCUACGUGUAGGAUUUUGUAUGUACCGUAUGAAUAAGCAUCGGCUAACUCCGUGCCAGCAGCCGCGGUAAUACGGAGGAUGCGAGCGUUAUCCGGAUUUAUUGGGUUUAAAGGGAGCGCAGACGGGAGAUUAAGUCAGUUGUGAAAGUUUGCGGCUCAACCGUAAAAUUGCAGUUGAUACUGGUUUCCUUGAGUGCAGUUGAGGCAGGCGGAAUUCGUGGUGUAGCGGUGAAAUGCUUAGAUAUCACGAAGAACCCCGAUUGCGAAGGCAGCUUGCUAAACUGUAACUGACGUUCAUGCUCGAAAGUGUGGGUAUCAAACAGGAUUAGAUACCCUGGUAGUCCACACGGUAAACGAUGGAUACUCGCUGU
rnacentral:rRNA from 1 species